rnacentral:lncRNA from 10 species
UUUCAAAUACAGAAGCUUAUAUGUAAUGUGAUCUUUAGCAGCAGCAAAGACAGGCACUCUCAUAAGGAUGAGAAUAGGCAGUAGCAGUAGCAGGUGCUUUGUCAUUCAUGGUGGUAGCCUUGUUACAAAUCACAAAGUAACUGGCAUGGCAUGAAAAUCUAAAUGAGCAAAACCUGCCCUAUUCUUGGUAGUAUAUGCAAAUAGUUAUUAUAUACUCUAAAUUCUUAUAAAACGGUUGUUUAAAAAUUGAUAGUAAUUGUUUUCUAUUGCUGAAAUAAAAGCCCCUAAUCAUAUUUGCCAGAUGUACAAUGGUGAGCUCUCUAAACGUGCACCCUCAUAAAGGAUCUUACUGUUACCCAGGAUGAAGUACUGUGGCAUGAUCACAGCUCCCUGAAGCCUCAACCUCUCCAAGCUCAGGUGAUUUCUUCCACCUCAGCCUCCAAAGUAGCUGGGACUACAGGCAUGCGCCACUACACCCAGCUAAUUUUUUUGUGUGUUUUGGAGAGAUAGGGUUUCAUCAUGUUGCCCAGGCUGGUCUGAAACUCCUGGACUCAAGCAAUCUACCCACCUGGGCCUCCCAAAGUGCUAGGAUUACAGGCAUGAGCCACUACGCCCAGCAAGGUAUUUUCUGAAAAGGUGGAUUGCUGCUUCAAAGGACCUGGACCCAGAGGCCCUGUCCAUGAAUGUUUCUUGCUUGGUUCCGAGGCCACCAAACAUACUGGCUGAGCCUUCUGUAUUCACCCUGGCCUAUCAAUGCCAUCUAUGAGAGCAGCCACACUGAGAGAGCAGCAGCAUGGAGCCUACUCAAGGGGAUGGGAUCUUUUAUGAAGAAAUGGAUUGGGAAGAAAAACAUAAGAUAAGGUUGGAACCUCUUCUGGUGCAAGAAG